AUUGAACGCUGGCGGCAUGCUUUACACAUGCAAGUCGAACGGCAGCACGGGGGCAACCCUGGUGGCGAGUGGCGAACGGGUGAGUAAUAUAUCGGAACGUACCCGGAAAUGGGGGAUAACGUAGCGAAAGUUACGCUAAUACCGCAUAUGCCCUAAGGGGGAAGCGGGGAUUCGCAAGAACCUCGCGUUUUCGGAGCGGCCGAUAUCGGAUUAGCUAGUAGGUGAGGUAAAGGCUCACCUAGGCGACGAUCCGUAGCUGGUCUGAGAGGACGACCAGCCACACUGGAACUGAGACACGGUCCAGACUCCUACGGGAGGCAGCAGUGGGAAUUUUGGACAAUGGGCGCAAGCCGUGAUCCAGCCAUGCCGCGUGAGUGAAGAAGGCC
rnacentral:rRNA from 1 species